rnacentral:rRNA from 1 species
UACGUAGGUGGCAAGCGUUAUCCGGAAUUAUUGGGCGUAAAGAGCGCGCAGGUGGUUGAUUAAGUCUGAUGUGAAAGCCCACGGCUUAACCGUGGAGGGUCAUUGGAAACUGGUCGACUUGAGUGCAGAAGAGGGAAGUGGAAUUCCAUGUGUAGCGGUGAAAUGCGUAGAGAUAUGGAGGAACACCAGUGGCGAAGGCGGCUUCCUGGUCUGCAACUGACACUGAGGCGCGAAAGCGUGGGGAGCAAACAGGAUUAGAUA